rnacentral:misc_RNA from 1 species
UUUCCGUAGGUGAACCUGCGGAAGGAUCAUUAAUGUGUUUGCGCCUCACGGCUCUUCAUUCCGACGCUGUGCGCCUUCGGGCUGCACGCUGAGGGAGCAUAUAUCCACCCCUGUGCACACACACGGUGGCGAGCUGGGUAACGGCUCGCCGCUGAUCUUUACACACGUCUAAAAGUCAUUGUAUGUUUAUUUGAGAUAAAAACACAACUUUCAGCAACGGAUCUCUUGGCUCUC